GACGAACGCUGGCGGCGUGCUUAACACAUGCAAGUCGAACGGAAAGGCCCUGCUUUUGUGGGGUGCUCGAGUGGCGAACGGGUGAGUAACACGUGAGUAACCUGCCCUUGACUUUGGGAUAACUUCAGGAAACUGGGGCUAAUACCGGAUAGGAGCUCCUGCUGCAUUGUGGGGGUUGGAAAGUUUCGGCGGUUGGGGCUGGACUCGCGGCUUAUCAGCUUGUUGGUGGGGUAGUGGCUUACCAAGGCUUUGACGGGUAGCCGGCCUGAGAGGGUGAACGGCCACAUUGGGACUGAGAUACGGCCCAGACUCCUACGGGAGGCAGCAGUGGGGAAUAUUGCACAAUGGGCGGAAGCCUGAUGCAGCAACGCCGCGUGCGGGAUGACGGCCUUCGGGUUGUAAACCGCUUUCGCCUGUGACGAAGCGUGAGUGACGGUAAUGGGUAAAGAAGCACCGGCUAACUACGUG
rnacentral:rRNA from 1 species